GGUCCUACAGCAUUGGGAUGCACGCUGCUUGCACCGUGCUCCAGCCACAAGGCUGCACGCAGGGACUUGUUGUAAUGUUUCUCCAAACAUUAGGAGAAAUGAACUCUAGCCCUUGGGAAAAAAACAGGGGAAGGGAGCCCCACAGAGCCAGCGAGGUGGUUUUGGAAGCAUAGGGGCAGCUUCUCUGCUCACCUGUGAAGCCACACUGAGAUGCACUGGAGACAGAAAUAGUCGUGUUGCUCAGAAAUAGUUGUGUCACGCAGAAGUCUUCACAGUCACGGCUGAGACAUGUGGAAGAGAGCAGAAAAGUCAGAAAAGCUGCAUUGAUUUUCUCAGUUGGGCUCCCACCAUUAGCAGCAAUUUGCCUGCUUAGGAUGCAAAGGCCAGCUCUUCAGCCAGAAUAAAUGGGGACUAAUAUCAACCAGCCUGUGCUGAUUUACAUUAAUUGGGCACUUGGCACACAUUUCCCUUGCCUUUGCCAUGAUAACAGUAGCCUCCUUUUCUGUUAUUUACGUGCAGUGCAUGGCUAUAUUUCAUCUUCUCCCAUGAUUAUUAACAAAAUGAUCCAUUAAAGUAUGCUACCCUAUUAUUCCUCUCUAAAUGAGACAGAUUGCUUCCGAACACACAUUAAUAAAGGACGGAAGGCAACAGGAUGGCAAAAGUGUGAAUGCUUCUUUCCGGAGAAAUCAGUUUGCACGUUGCAGCUGUAGACCCCUGCUCCUGAAGCAGUGUGCCUGCACUCUCAUCUAAAGUUGCAUUGUCAAAGCUGUGCCUUCAUUUCCACCAAAAGCAAAAUCCCACUCUCUCAGGGCAAAAUCAUUUGAGGCUUUUGCAUUGAUUAAGAAAGAUCUGUGUUAUUCCCUUAGAACUAUGGGCCCAGCACCUUGUGAGUGGUGUGGGAGGAGGGAGUAAGUGCUCCUUCUCCAAGAGGCAACAAGAGGGUUGAUUGAGUAACCCAUUUUAUAAAGACAGGAAAAAGUCAUAGCAAAGCUGAUCACUGCAAGUUGCUUCCAGUCCCCCUGGGAACUGAAGUAGAUGAGCUACACAUCUUUGAAAAACGAGAUUAAUUAUGGAAAUAGCGCGUCACCCUUAAGCAGAGUGGCACUGAAAUACAGUGAGAGCUGAAGGCAAAAGAGAGCACAGCAGAGAGCAGCUGUCCAAAUAUUGGCAAUGGCUCCGCAGUCAAUGAGGAUUUCCAGUCACAGAGAUACCAAACCGAGUCUCUGAUGAGCAAAGAGGAAUGCUUGCAGUAAAAUGACCACUUACCAUUUUUCUCCAAUCUUCAAAAACAUCUUCAACCAAUCACACAUUCUUUGUCUGAGGACGAGGCGCUUCUUCAUCUUCUUCUGAAGAUGAGCAAAUAGGGAAACUAGCUUCUGAAAUUAAGACUAAUUGCUUGUGUAACAACUCACAGUUGUGGGAGCUGGGAAAAGCUCAUGAGAAACAGCACCACCACCAAGUGAAGAAUUAAUUCCCUCUGUGCAGGACUGUAAAGCAGCUGGUGUAACUGAAAGCGAUGGCAGGAUAUUCUGGACGAGGAAGAAUUAAGUCUGCAGCAUCUUAGCUGCAUUCUAUCCAAGAGACUGGUAUAACAUCGUAAUUGGGGAACAAAAAAAGGUACGUGGUCUGAUGACUGAGGAUUUCAGUGCAAUACAAAUGUGCAAUAGAGGAGAGCGUUCCAGAGAUUCUGACUAAAUGUGCAUUUUUGAAAUGUAGUUGCAUUACUUCCACGAUCACGUGCUUUUUUGAGAUAUUUCUUAGGACUGCAAAAUGUCACAGGAGUCAAAAUAAGACUUAGAACAUAAAAUCUCCAAGUUCCACUGAACUACCAGCUAAAUGGGACUUCUGGCCAAUUACCAGCAACAGCCAGUCUCUUGAAAUUUGGGAACAGUAAAGAGAUUAUUUGGCAGCAACUCUGUCCACAAGAGUGGAUUCCUCUCUCUCAAGCCUUACUACAUAGUUCUUAGGGAACAUUUUAUCCAGGUCUCUAUACUUUCAACCUCACAAACCACGCUAAAACCCCUUAGAAAGAGUUACAAGAAACAACGGCAAGGAAAUUUCUUGUAUAUUUUGUCUAGUGGGAAAUGAGUCCAAUGUUUGUCUUGUAUGAAGUCUCUACAGAUACUUCAGGAGAGCAGAAUUCUGCUUCUGCCAGCAGAACCAGUUGGAUAUAAAAACAUCCACAGCAAGAACUCAGUUGAAAGAACAGCCCAGUCCUACACCCCCCUUCUGUCUUCUGUAC